rnacentral:rRNA from 1 species
GACGAACGCUGGCGGCGUGCCUAAUACAUGCAAGUCGAGCGAAGCGGGGACGGGUGAGUAACACGUGGAUAACCUCCUAUAAGACUGGGAUAACUCCGGGAAACCGGAGCUAAACCGGAUGCGUAUAGAUGGAUCCGCGCUGCAUUAGCUAGUUGGUAAGGUAACGGCUUACCAAGGCAACGAUGCAUAGCCGACCUGAGAGGGGAGUGGGGCACACUGGAACUUGGGUACGGACCAGACUCCUACGGGAGUCAGCAGUAGGGAAUGUUCCGCAAUGGGCGAACGCCUAACGGGGCAACGCCGCGUGAGUGAUAAGGGUCUUCGGGUCGUAAAACUCUGUUAUUGGGAAAGCGGUACCUAAUCAGAAAGCCACGGCUAACUACGUGCCAGCAGCCGCGGUAAUUC